AACGAACGCUGGCGGCAGGCCUAACACAUGCAAGUCGAACGCCCGUAGCAAUACGGGAGUGGCAGACGGGUGAGUAACGCGUGGGAACGUGCCCUUCGGUUCGGAAUAACUCAGGGAAACUUGAGCUAAUACCGGAUACGUCCGUAAGGAGAAAGAUUUAUCGCCGAAGGAUCGGCCCGCGUCGGAUUAGCUAGUUGGUGAGGUAACGGCCCACCAAGGCGACGAUCCGUAGCUGGUCUGAGAGGANGAUCAGCCACACUGGGACUGAGACACGGCCCAGACUCCUACGGGAGGCAGCAGUGGGGAAUAUUGGACAAUGGGCGAAAGCCUGAUCCAGCCAUGCCGCGUGAGUGAAGAAGGCCUUAGGGUUGUAAAGCUCUUUCAGCGGGAAGAUAA
rnacentral:rRNA from 1 species